rnacentral:rRNA from 1 species
AAAUUGAAGAGUUUGAUCAUGGCUCAGAUUGAACGCUGGCGGCAGGCCUAACACAUGCAAGUCGAACGGUAACAGAAAGCAGCUUGCUGCUUUGCUGACGAGUGGCGGACGGGUGAGUAAUGUCUGGGAAACUGCCUGAUGGAGGGGGAUAACUACUGGAAACGGUAGCUAAUACCGCAUAACGUCGCAAGACCAAAGAGGGGGACCUUCGGGCCUCUUGCCAUCGGAUGUGCCCAGAUGGGAUUAGCUUGUUGGUGGGGUAACGGCUCACCAAGGCGACGAUCCCUAGCUGGUCUGAGAGGAUGACCAGCCACACUGGAACUGAGACACGGUCCAGACUCCUACGGGAGGCAGCAGUGGGGAAUAUUGCACAAUGGGCGCAAGCCUGAUGCAGCCAUGCCGCGUGUAUGAAGAAGGCCUUCGGGUUGUAAAGUACUUUCAGCGGGGAGGAAGGGAGUAAAGUUAAUACCUUUGCUCAUUGACGUUACCCGCAGAAGAAGCACCGGCUAACUCCGUGCCAGCAGCCGCGGUAAUACGGAGGGUGCAAGCGUUAAUCGGAAUUACUGGGCGUAAAGCGCACGCAGGCGGUUUGUUAAGUCAGAUGUGAAAUCCCCGGGCUCAACCUGGGAACUGCAUCUGAUACUGGCAAGCUUGAGUCUCGUAGAGGGGGGUAGAAUUCCAGGUGUAGCGGUGAAAUGCGUAGAGAUCUGGAGGAAUACCGGUGGCGAAGGCGGCCCCCUGGACGAAGACUGACGCUCAGGUGCGAAAGCGUGGGGAGCAAACAGGAUUAGAUACCCUGGUAGUCCACGCCGUAAACGAUGUCGACUUGGAGGCUGUGCCCUUGAGGCGUGGCUUCCGGAGCUAACGCGUUAAGUCGACCGCCUGGGGAGUACGGCCGCAAGGUUAAAACUCAAAUGAAUUGACGGGGGCCCGCACAAGCGGUGGAGCAUGUGGUUUAAUUCGAUGCAACGCGAAGAACCUUACCUGGUCUUGACAUCCACAGAACUUUCCAGAGAUGGAUUGGUGCCUUCGGGAACUGUGAGACAGGUGCUGCAUGGCUGUCGUCAGCUCGUGUUGUGAAAUGUUGGGUUAAGUCCCGCAACGAGCGCAACCCUUAUCCUUUGUUGCCAGCGGUCCGGCCGGGAACUCAAAGGAGACUGCCAGUGAUAAACUGGAGGAAGGUGGGGAUGACGUCAAGUCAUCAUGGCCCUUACGACCAGGGCUACACACGUGCUACAAUGGCGCAUACAAAGAGAAGCGACCUCGCGAGAGCAAGCGGACCUCAUAAAGUGCGUCGUAGUCCGGAUUGGAGUCUGCAACUCGACUCCAUGAAGUCGGAAUCGCUAGUAAUCGUGGAUCAGAAUGCCACGGUGAAUACGUUCCCGGGCCUUGUACACACCGCCCGUCACACCAUGGGAGUGGGUUGCAAAAGAAGUAGGUAGCUUAACCUUCGGGAGGGCGCUUACCACUUUGUGAUUCAUGACUGGGGUGAAGUCGUAACAAGGUAACCGUAGGGGAACCUGCGGUUGGAUCACCUCCUUA